rnacentral:rRNA from 1 species
UACGUAGGUGGCAAGCGUUGUCCGGAAUUACUGGGUGUAAAGGGAGCGUAGGCGGGUACGCAAGUUGAAUGUGAAAACUAUGGGCUCAACCGAUAGUUGCGUUCAAAACUGCGAAUCUUGAGUGAAGUAGAGGCAGGCGGAAUUCCUAGUGUAGCGGUAAAAUGCGUAGAUAUUAGGAGGAACACCAGUGGCGAAGGCGGCCUGCUGGGCUUUAACUGACGCUGAGGCUCGAAAGUGUGGGGAGCAAA